UACGGAGGAUGCAAGCGUUAUCCGGAAUUAUUGGGCGUAAAGCGUCCGCAGGUGGCUGUGUAAGUCUGCUGUUAAAGAGUCAUGCUCAACAUGAUAAGAGCAGUGGAAACUACACGGCUAGAGUGCGUUCGGGGCAGAGGGAAUUCCUGGUGUAGCGGUGAAAUGCGUAGAGAUCAGGAAGAACACCGGUGGCGAAAGCGCUCUGCUAGGCCGCAACUGACACUGAGGGACGAAAGCUAGGGGAGCGAAUGGG
rnacentral:rRNA from 1 species